rnacentral:tRNA from 1 species
GGUUUAAAGAAAAGUUUGAGUGCAAAUCAAAUAAUGGGCUUGAUAGUCCUUAAGCCU